UUUUUUUUUUUUUUUUUUUUUUUCUUCAGGGUCUAGCGCACCUAGAUGUCAAUCAUAUCAAAGCACCAGUGAGGUGAUGAAGAUCAGCAUU
rnacentral:ribozyme from 1 species